AUCCAGCUGACGAGUCCCAAAUAGGACGAAACGCGUGUCCUAGAU
rfam:Schistosoma rodhaini strain Burundi genome assembly, scaffold: SROB_scaffold0002687